rnacentral:rRNA from 1 species
GAUGAACGCUGGCGGCGUGCCUAAUACAUGCAAGUCGAGCGAACGGACGAGAAGCUUGCUUCUCUGAUGUUAGCGGCGGACGGGUGAGUAACACGUGGAUAACCUACCUAUAAGACUGGGAUAACUUCGGGAAACCAGAGCUAAUACCGGAUAAUAUUUUGAACCGCAUGGUUCAAAAGUGAAAGACGGUCUUGCUGUCACUUAUAGAUGGAUCCGCGCUGCAUUAGCUAGUUGGUAAGGUAACGGCUUACCAAGGCAACGAUGCAUAGCCGACCUGAGAGGGUGAUCGGCCACACUGGAACUGAGACACGGUCCAGACUCCUACGGGAGGCAGCAGUAGGGAAUCUUCCGCAAUGGGCGAAAGCCUGACGGAGCAACGCCGCGUGAGUGAUGAAGGUCUUCGGAUCGUAAAACUCUGUUAUUAGGGAAGAACAUAUGUGUAAGUAACUGUGCACAUCUUGACGGUACCUAAUCAGAAAGCCACGGCUAACUACGUGCCAGCAGCCGCGGUAAUACGUAGGUGGCAAGCGUUAUCCGGGAAUAUUGGGCGUAAAGCGCGCGUAGGCGGUUUUUUAAGUCUGAUGUGAAAGCCCACGGCUCAACCGUGGAGGGUCAUUGGAAACUGGAAAACUUGAGUGCAGAAGAGGAAAGUGGAAUUCCAUGUGUAGCGGUGAAAUGCGCAGAGAUAUGGAGGAACACCAGUGGCGAAGGCGACUUUCUGGUCUGUAACUGACGCUGAUGUGCGAAAGCGUGGGGAUCAAACAGGAUUAGAUACCCUGGUAGUCCACGCCGUAAACGAUGAGUGCUAAGUGUUAGGGGGUUUCCGCCCCUUAGUGCUGCAGCUAACGCAUUAAGCACUCCGCCUGGGGAGUACGACCGCAAGGUUGAAACUCAAAGGAAUUGACGGGGACCCGCACAAGCGGUGGAGCAUGUGGUUUAAUUCGAAGCAACGCGAAGAACCUUACCAAAUCUUGACAUCCUUUGACAACUCUAGAGAUAGAGCCUUCCCCUUCGGGGGACAAAGUGACAGGUGGUGCAUGGUUGUCGUCAGCUCGUGUCGUGAGAUGUUGGGUUAAGUCCCGCAACGAGCGCAACCCUUAAGCUUAGUUGCCAUCAUUAAGUUGGGCACUCUAAGUUGACUGCCGGUGACAAACCGGAGGAAGGUGGGGAUGACGUCAAAUCAUCAUGCCCCUUAUGAUUUGGGCUACACACGUGCUACAAUGGACAAUACAAAGGGCAGCGAAACCGCGAGGUCAAGCAAAUCCCAUAAAGUUGUUCUCAGUUCGGAUUGUAGUCUGCAACUCGACUACAUGAAGCUGGAAUCGCUAGUAAUCGUAGAUCAGCAUGCUACGGUGAAUACGUUCCCGGGUCU